rnacentral:rRNA from 1 species
CGCGUGAGAAUCUGGCUUCGGGUUCGGGACAACAGUGGGAAACUGCUGCUAAUACCGGAUGUGCCGAAAGGUAAAGAUUAAUUGCCCGAAGAUGAGCUCGCGUCCGAUUAGCUAGUUGGUGUGGUAAGAGCGCACCAAGGCGUCGAUCGGUAGCUGGUCUGAGAGGACGAUCAGCCACACUGGGACUGAGACACGGCCCAGACUCCUACGGGAGGCAGCAGUGGGGAAUUUUCCGCAAUGGGCGAAAGCCUGACGGAGCAAUACCGCGUGAGGGAGGAAGGCUCUUGGGUUGUAAACCUC